UUAAUUAAAUUAUAAGACUUUAAUAAAUCAGCUAUUAAAUCUCAAAAUAUAUAUAAAAAUAUGUUCUUAUAUUUUCAUGAAAAAUACAACAUAAUUUUAUUUCUCCUCAAUAUAUUUAACCAUAUUCAAAUUAAACACUUAAUUCUUUUUUGUUUUUUUAAUUUUUAUAAUUCAAUAACAUAAAUAAAAAAUACAAACACACACAUCUCUUUUUUUUUUUUUUCUUACACAUCCUUUUUCUACAUGUAAAACAAAUAACAAAAAUUCAAAAUAAAUCAAAUACAAUUCAAAAGUUACAAAAUAAAAACCCAAAAAAUCUACAGGAAUUGCAGAGAAGGCCGGAACAGUGCUGGAAGGUUUCUGGGCGCGGAACAGUGGCGGCGCGUCUCCUCCACUCGCCACCGACACUGGCGGCGGGUGGGUCCACGCGCCGCCGUGAAAUCCAGAGAGCAGGGGGGCUGUACCAGCUUCGUCCCUUCUUCCUUCUAAUGCCGGCGGUGACAAAAAAAAAAAAAUCAAAAACACAACAAGCAGUUGACUCCUUUUUUUAGAUCUGUUCUCGGUCUUCCUUCUUCCUCCCGGUUCGUUUCCCCAUGUUGGUGGCAGAUCCGGCCGUUGGUUCACGGUCCAGAUCUGCUACGUGGGUUGAACCGAUGAAGAAGAGUGGGGGGUUGCCGGGUCUUCACGAGCUGGCGGCUGGUCCAGGAGAAUGGGUUAUCGAGGCCGAGUGAGGAGAGAGCUGGGUCUGCGGGCGGCUGGGAGGCUGGGGACGAUGGAGGUCGUGGCCGAGGGAGAGAGAGGUCAGUCCGAUGCUCUCCGGUUUGUUUAGCAAAGCCAAGGGAAAAAAUGAGUGGCCGGCUGGUCUCGGGAGAAAAACAAAUCCAAGACGAUGGGGGGCGGCGGCUCAAGGGGGAGAACUGGAGAAGGCUUGUGUCCGGUGGGUUUCUCUCCUUUUGCAGGGAAGAUGGAGAGCUUAGGGACGGUUUCUCUGGGUUUUCUCGUGCAAGGGGGGUCGCCGUUGGAGGGUGAGAUCUGUCGGUUGAGGGAGCAGAGGGACGAUGGGUCGUGGUCAAAAGUCAGGGGGGGAAAGGGGGGCUUGAGCCUCUGGUUUUUUGGCUGAGGAGAAGGAGAUGGUGCUGGAAAUGGCUUUGGGGAACAGUGUCAGGUGAGGGGCUGUCUUGUGUGUUUGGAUGAGGGGGGGAUCUUGGCUGAGAGGAGGAAAAACUUUGGCUGAUGAGAGGUAGAUGACGGGGAGAUGCCACCGAGAGAGGGAAGGGUCUGUGGAAAAUGGGAAAGAUUGGCCGUGGCCUCUGGUUUUUUGGCCAAGGUCAGGCGGCGCUCAUGAGUGUAGAAGAUUAGGCUUUUAGGGUUUUUUUUUUUUUUUCCCCAAAAUUUUUCGUCCCCCCAAAAUUUUUCUCCCUGUCAAUGCAUUUUUUGGGUUUUUCGUUGUUUUUUUGAUAUUUUUGAUUUUUCUGAAAAUUUAUCAAAAAUAUGGGUUAAAAAUUGGGUAGCAAUAUUUCUG
rnacentral:lncRNA from 1 species